UCGCGCGUGCGCCUCUUUGGCCCCCGCCCCCACGAGGAAGUAUCAUUGACUGACGUCAGAGCCGCCGUCGAGACGUGCGGCAACUGUGCGCCGUCUCGCCUCUCCUAAUCCUCUCGCACAGCUUCACAUGCACAAGUGCAGGCACUUGUGCUCACACCUUUCCAUUCUCUGUCGCUCAGCCCCCUAUCCUCACAUCAUGCGGCUGCGGCACUGAAGCAGUCACUCAGGUACAUCUUCAUACGCGUUCGCCAUCUUGAUACGGACUCCACAGUCACCUGCAACCAAAAGAAAAGAGAAGGGCACCUCUCGUGGAUGUAGCCCUGCCCAUGGCGCUUCUCUCCUCGAAGGCCGCCCGCAAGUGGGGAUGGCGCUGCCUCUACGCCGCCGGAAUACUGGGCGUCGGAUACGUUGGGGCCGACUACGCCACAGACAACUCCCUGACGCGCUCGCUGCGCACGCUGCUCGCCUUUGGCACGAUCGUGUGCACGUACAAGUUCACUACCCCUACGACACCCGAGGAACUGUCUUCCAUGCACAGCCGCGUCGCACGCAUCAUCCUCGAUACAUGCCUAAAAAAUGAGGGGCUGUACAUCAAGAUUGGGCAAGGCCUGAACUCCAUGAGCCACGUGCUCCCGCGCGAGUACACGGAAGUGCUCAAAGUGCUGCUGGACCGGGCGCCGCCUGUUCCGAUGGCAGAGAUUCGAAAGAUCAUCCGCGCCGAAACCGGCAAGGAAAUCGAGGAGCUGUUUGUUCGCUUCGACGAGACGCCGGUGGCCUCGGCAUCGAUUGCGCAGGUGCACCAAGCGUGGCUUCCGCCUCCGGCAGACGGCUCAUCGGCGGAGCCGCAGAGAGUAGCCGUGAAGGUGCGCAAACCGUGCAUCUCCACCCAGUCCGUGUGGGACCUGUACAUAUAUAGCACCAUCAUGACGCUGCUCAAGCUUCUCUUUGACCUGCCGACGGACUGGUCCAGGAAGACCGUGUGCGACGCGUUGAUGCGCGAGAUGGACUUCACCUUGGAGGCGUCCAACGCGAAGCGGUUCCGACACGCCUUCCGCGACAACCCGCGCUUGUACAUCCCGCGUGUUCACGACGCGUACACCUCAAAGCAGCUGCUCGUUCUGGAAUGGAUCGAGGGGACCAAACUGAACGAUGUGGAGUCUAUACGAGCGCAGUACGAUGAGAAGCGUGUGCUGACCACCUUGUUCGACGCCGUUGGUGACAUGGUCUUUAAGCACGGCUUCGUCCACGCCGACCCGCACGCCGCCAACGUCCUUGUGCGGCCCUCGCCGAAAACCAAUCCAGCGCCAGCAACAGCGGGCACCGACAUGGCUGCUGCCACCACCACUACCACCACCACGUCGGCGGCAACGCGACACGCCACGGCAGCGCGCGACUCGAGCGACUACCAAGUCGUCCUCAUCGACUUUGGCCUCGCCACACCGGAGCGAGUGCGCUUUCGAUAUCAAUACGCCCUACUCUUUGUGAGCCUCUUUACCCAUGACAAGGAAUCGCUGAGGCGGGUGGUGCACGACUGGGGCAUCAACGACGCCGAGAUGUUCGCCUCUAUACAGGCGCAGAAGCCCUUCGAAGCGAUCCAGGCCGGCAGCUACGACGAAGUCACACGCGAUGAGGUGAUCGCCAUGCAGACGAAGGCGCAUGAGCGGGCAAAGGAGAUCUUACGCGACACACGGCGCAUACCGAAGGAGCUCAUCAUGGUGGGCCGCAGCCUCGACAUCCUGCGCGGCGUUAACCGGCUUUACGGGUCACCCGUAAACCGCAUGAACAUGUUUGUGCAAAGUGCGGUGGAGUGUCUGGGCCCACUGCGAAACUACGACGCGGUCGACGCGUACUUGAAGCGCAUGCAGAAGAUUAUGGAGGCGCGGGGUUGCUUGACAACUGUCGCCAGAGACUGCUACCAGGAAUACGAAAGCGUGUACGACGCCUCUGCAGACACCGUGCGAGAGGAGCAGGAAGCCGCAGCAGCACAGAUUGCCGCCGAGGACGCACAGCGUGGGCUCCACCACCCCUCGCAAGGGCCAGUAUCGGAGGUGUACGCCUGGCUUGACGCCGUGUAUCGCGCCUUGCUGCUGCACAGUCUUUUGUUCCUGCUCAACGCGGUUCACGUGAUCACCUACACUUACAACUCACUGAUUGCGGCGUUCCUGCCAGCCGCAGCGCAGAAGAAGCUCCGUAUCGCAAGCCUGGAAGACCGGCGUGAUCGUCUCUUUGGGCAACAGUGGAGUGUUGAGGGGGAAGAGAUGGCGGAAGCCGUCCUCGCCGCUGGCUAAAACGCACGCAGAGCGAAAGACAAAGGGGAAGGGAUGAGAAGAUCGUCAAUGCAGUGACGAGACCCACCUCUCUCUUUACAUCCUUUCAUUCCUACCGUCGUAUCUUUUUUUUUGCUUUCUUCUCUGUUUGCUGAGGUACUCUUAG
rnacentral:misc_RNA from 1 species